AAGAGACAGCAGCCGCCACGGGAAUACGAAGGGGGCUAGCGUUGUUCGGAUUUACUGGGCGUAAAGCGCACGUAGGCGGAUCGAUCAGUCAGGGGUGAAAUCCCAGAGCUCAACUCUGGAACUGCCUUUGAUACUGUCGAUCUGGAGUAUGGAAGAGGUGAGUGGAAUUCCGAGUGUAGAGGUGAAAUUCGUAGAUAUUCGGAGGAACACCAGUGGCGAAGGCGGCUCACUGGUCCAUUACUGACGCUGAGGUGCGAAAGCGUGGGGAGCAAACAGGAUUAGAUACCCCCGUAGUCCCUGUCUCUUAUAC
rnacentral:rRNA from 1 species